AGAGUUUGAUCCUGGCUCAGAUUGAACGCCGGCGGCAUGCCUUACACAUGCAAGUCGAACGGCAGCACGGGGGCAACCUGGUGGCGAGUGGCGAACGGGUGAGUAAUAUAUCGGAACGUACCCAGUAGUGGGGGAUAACUAUCCGAAAGGAUAGCUAAUACCGCAUACGAUCUGUGGAUGAAAGCAGGGGAUCUUCGGACCUUGUGCUAUUGGAAUGGCCGAUAUCUGAUUAGCUAGUUGGUAGGGUAAAAGCCUACCAAGGCGACGAUCAGUAGCUGGUCUGAGAGGACGACCAGCCACACUGGAACUGAGACACGGUCCAGACUCCUACGGGAGGCAGCAGUGGGGAAUUUUGGACAAUGGGGGCAACCCUGAUCCAGCAAUGCCGCGUGAGUGAAGAAGGCCCUCGGGUUGUAAAGCUCUUUUGUCAGGGAAGAAACGGUGAUCUCUAAUAUAGAUUGCUAAUGACGGUACCUGAAGAAUAAGCACCGGCUAACUACGUGCCAGCAGCCGCGGUAAUACGUAGGGUGCAAGCGUUAAUCGGAAUUACUGGGCGUAAAGCGUGCGCAGGCGGUUUUGUAAGUCUGAUGUGAAAUCCCCGGGCUCAACCUGGGAACUGCAUUGGAGACUGCAAGGCUAGAGUGUGUCAGAGGGGGGUAGAAUUCCACGUGUAGCAGUGAAAUGCGUAGAGAUGUGGAGGAAUACCGAUGGCGAAGGCAGCCCCCUGGGAUAACACUGACGCUCAUGCACGAAAGCGUGGGGAGCAAACAGGAUUAGAUACCCUGGUAGUCCACGCCCUA
rnacentral:rRNA from 1 species